rnacentral:lncRNA from 12 species
ACAUUUUAGAUGGUCAGAAUAACUGGAAUUAAGAAGAAAUUUUAAAAUUCUAAUCAAAAAAAAGAAGAAGAAGAAGAAGAAGAAAGGAAAAAAAAAUAGAGCUAACCACAGUAGAGGAUCCAAAUACCUGUGCCUCAUGCUUCCAGUACCCUAAAAACAGCAACACGCCUUCCAGAGAUUUUUCCAGUUACUCUAGGUACCCAGUAGCCAAAUUGACAUGAAGUUACCACACCUUCCUUCACAUUUCUGCACCCUGUGAAUUUCUUUCUUUGGCUGGAUUUUAAGACAUCUUUGAUGGACGUUAUAUCUAUCAAGACUCUUGACAUUCUCAUCUCUUUGAUCAAGAAGAAUUCAUCACCUCGGUGGUUUGCACGAACACCACACCAGAUUAGUCCAGCACAAGGACAUGCAUGCUCAAGGACAAGGCUACAUGGAAUGUGUGCACUGAACCAUGGGAAUUUGCUUAUUACAACCUGUCGAUGCAGCCACUUCAGUCUUCAUGAGUGCAAGGCCAUCAUUUCCAAAGGCAAAUGGAGAAUGCCAGAAAAGGGUUAAUCUCUGGAACAUGGGUGAUAAAGCAAAGGAAAAAUAUUUUGCUCAACAAUAUAUAAUUUAAAACCCCAGCGAUUGUUUUUGGUCAGUUUCUUGCAAUAUGCAAGGUAAUUUUUUUCAAUUUAUUUGGAAUUAGUCAAGUGCACUGUUGAAAAGGCAGAGUGAAUUGAUGCUAAAUAGUUUUUGGAAGAUGUAAUUGUCUGAUGAUUUGUAAAUAGCCAAGCUUAUCAAAAAAGUAAUUUAAAUGUUAUGCUGACAAUUUUGUUCAGUUUGGUAUACUCUGUAAACUGGGGAAUCCAAUUUUUUGCCCUCAUUAGCAUGAGAAUUCUCUUUGCU